rnacentral:rRNA from 1 species
CCUACGGGAGGCAGCAGUGGGGAAUAUUGCACAAUGGGGGAAACCCUGAUGCAGCGACGCCGCGUGAGCGAUGAAGUAUUUCGGUAUGUAAAGCUCUAUCAGCAGGGAAGAAAAUGACGGUACCUGACUAAGAAGCCCCGGCUAACUACGUGCCAGCAGCCGCGGUAAUACGUAGGGGGCAAGCGUUAGCCGGAUUUACUGGGUGAAAAGGGAGCGUAGACGGUAUGUUAAGUCAGCGGUCAAAGCCCGGGGCUCAACCCCGGCCCGCCGUUGAAACUGGCAGUCCCGAGUUGGAGAGAAGUAUGCGGAAUGCGCGGUGUAGCGGUGAAAUGCAUAGAUAUCGCGCAGAACUCCGAUUGCGAAGGCAGCAUGCCGGCUCCCCACUGACGCUGAGGCACGAAAGCGUGGGUAUCGAACAGGAUUAGAUACCCCUGUAGUC